UGGGGAAUAUUGGACAAUGGGCGCAAGCCUGAUCCAGCCAUGCCGCGUGAGUGAUGAAGGCCCUAGGGUUGUAAAGCUCUUUCACCGGUGAAGAUAAUGACGGUAACCGGAGAAGAAGCCCCGGCUAACUUCGUGCCAGCAGCCGCGGUAAUACGAAGGGGGCUAGGGUUGUUCGGAUUUACUGGGCGUAAAGCGCACGUAGGCGGACUAUUAAGUCAGGGGUGAAAUCCCGGGGCUCAACCCCGGAACUGCCUUUGAUACUGGUAGUCUUGAGUUCGAGAGAGGUGAGUGGAAUUCCGAGUGUAGAGGUGAAAUUCGUAGAUAUUCGGAGGAACACCAGUGGCGAAGGCGGCUCACUGGCUCGAUACUGACGCUGAGGUGCGAAAGCGUGGGGAGCAAACAGG
rnacentral:rRNA from 1 species